rnacentral:rRNA from 1 species
AGCGAACGCUGGCGGCAGGCCUAACACAUGCAAGUCGAACGAACCUUUCGGGGUUAGUGGCGGCCGGGUGAGUAACACGUGGGAACGUGCCUUCAGGUUUGGAAUAACUCAGGGAAACUUGUGCUAACACCGAAUGUGCCCUUCGGGGGAAAGAUUUAUCGCCUUUAGAGCGGCCCGCGUCUGAUUAGCUAGUUGGUUGAGGUAAUGGCUCACCAAGGCGACGAUCAGUAGUUGGUCUGAGAGGAUGAUCAGCCACAUUGGGACUGAGACACGGCCCAAACUCCUACGGGAGGCAGCAGUGGGGAAUCUUGCGCAAUGGGCGAAAGCCUGACGCAGCCAUGCCGCGUGAAUGAUGAAGGUCUUAGGAUUGUAAAAUUCUUUCACCGGGGACGAUAAUGACGGUACCCGGAGAAGAAGCCCCGGCUAACUUCGUG